rnacentral:rRNA from 1 species
AACUAAAACUUUCAACAACGGAUCUCUUGGUUCUGGCAUCGAUGAGAACGCAGCGAAAUGCGAUAAGUAAUGUGAAUUGCAGAAUUCAGUGAAUCAUCGAAUCUUUGAACGCACAUUGCGCCCCUUGGUAUUCCGGGGGGCAUGCCUGUUCGAGCGUCAUUACAACCCUCAAGCUCUGCUUGGAAUUGGGCACCGUCCUCACUGCGGACGCGCCUCAAAGACCUCGGCGGUGGCUGUUCAGCCCUCAAGCGUAGUAGAAUACACCUCGCUUUGGAGCGGUUGGCGUCGCCCGCCGGACGAACCUUCUGAACUUU